rnacentral:rRNA from 1 species
GGAUUAGGCAUGCAAGUCGUGCGCGAUUUUACGGAUUGAGACUUCGGUCGAUUGAAGUAAAUGAAAGCGGCGAAAGGGAGAGUAACGCGUGGAUAUCUGCCCUUGGCUCCAGGAUAGCUACGGGAAACUGUGGGUAAUACUGGAUAAUAUCUCCGGAUCAAAGGUGUGAUUCCGGCCGAGGAUGAGUCCGCGUCCUAUUAGGUAGUUGGCGGGGUAAAGGCUCACCAAGCCGAAGAUGGGUACCGGGUGUGAGAGCAUGGUCCGGCUCACUGGGACUGAGACACUGUCCAGACGUCUACGGAUGGCUGCAGUCGAGAAUCUUCCGCAAUGGGCGAAAGCCUGACGGAGCGACGCCGCGUGCGGGAUGAAGGCCUUCGGGUUGUAAACCGCUGUCAGUUGGGAGGAAGUGCUAUGGGGUUCUCUUCAUAGCUUGACCGAUCUUCAGAGGAAGUACGGGCUAAGUACGUGCCAGCAGCCGCGGUAAUACGUACCGUACGAACGUUAUUCGGAAUUACUGGGCUUAAAGAGUCCGUAGGCGGCUUUAAAGGUGAGGUGUGAAAUCCCACGGCUUAACCGUGGAAUUGCGCUUCAAACCAUAAGGCUUGAGGGAGAUAGAGGAAAGCGGAACUGAUGGUGGAGCGGUGAAAUGCGUUGAUAUCAUCAGGAACGCCGGUGGCGAAAGCGGCUCACUGGAUCUUUUCUGACGCUGAGGAACGAAAGCUAGGGUAGCGAACGGGAUUAGAUACCCCGGUAGUCCUAGCCGUAAACGAUGAGCACUAGCCUGUGGGGACCCUCACAUCCUCUCGGGCGUAGCGAAAGUGUUAAGUGCUCCG